AGAUAUUUUUACAGUUGCAGUUUUUUCUCUGAAGUACAGGAAGAAUCAGUAAUAUUCUGAGAUCAUCCACCGGACCAGAACCAGAGACCUGCUCUAACCGGAUCAGAACCGGAGACCUGCUCUAACCGGAUCAGAACCGGAGUUCUGCUCUAACCGGACCAGAACCAGAGAUCUGCUCUAACCGGAUCAGAACCAGAGAUCGGCUCUAACCGGACCAGAACCAGAGUUGAAAAUCAUCUGAUGAGUCGUUGGAGUUUGAACUGUCAGAAUUGGACCAGAAAACAACAUCGAUUCUUUGACAUCUUUUCAUUAUUAACUGGUUAAAACUGGAUGAUUGGUUGAUGGUUGAUCCACCAUCAGUCGUCGACCUCAACCAAUAAUCAACCAAUAAUCAACCAAUAAUCAACCA